UACGUAGGUGGCAAGCGUUGUCCGGAUUUAUUGGGUUUAAAGGGUGCAUAGGUGGUCUAUUAAGUCAGUGCUGAAAUAUCCCGGCUUAACCGGGAGGGUGGCAUUGAUACUGAUGGACUUGAGUAAAGUUGAGGUGGGCGGAAUUGACGGUGUAGCGGUGAAAUGCUUAGAUAUCGUCAAGAACACCUAUUGCGAAGGCAGCUCACUAAGCUUUAACUGACACUGAGGCACGAAAGUGUGGGAAUCAAACAGG
rnacentral:rRNA from 1 species